rnacentral:rRNA from 1 species
GUGGGGAAUUUUGGACAAUGGGGGCAACCCUGAUCCAGCCAUGCCGCGUGCGGGAAGAAGGCCUUCGGGUUGUAAACCGCUUUUGUCAGGGAAGAAACGCUCUGGGCUAAUACCCCGGAGUAAUGACGGUACCUGAAGAAUAAGCACCGGCUAACUACGUGCCAGCAGCCGCGGUAAUACGUAGGGUGCAAGCGUUAAUCGGAAUUACUGGGCGUAAAGCGUGCGCAGGCGGCUUUGCAAGACAGAUGUGAAAUCCCCGGGCUUAACCUGGGAACUGCAUUUGUGACUGCAUGGCUGGAGUGCGGCAGAGGGGGAUGGAAUUCCGCGUGUAGCAGUGAAAUGCGUAGAUAUGCGGAGGAACACCGAUGGCGAAGGCAAUCCCCUGGGCCUGCACUGACGCUCAUGCACGAAAGCGUGGGGAGCAAACAGGAUUAGAUACCCGAGUAGUCC